GAAAGCAGCUGUAAGCAACAAGGCUGAAGUCUCUGCUGCUCCACAACCUACCUGCCAGUUUGGUCACAGGUAUCUCCCAAGAUACACAAUCACCUGGAGUGGAAGCUUCAGGACAACAGGGCUGGGAACCUGCGUGUUUCAGAUAAGAUACCUCUUGGAUACCUCUUGAUUCACUCUUCUUCCUGCCACUGUGGUGAGGAUCAUUGAGUCUUUGACCAGCUUUAUGCAGGUACAACCUGACAGCACCUGACUUCAGGCCCACAGAACACCUCG
rnacentral:lncRNA from 10 species